ensembl:lncRNA
GGUAUUCCAGUCCUGAGAUAUGGCUUACAACUACACUGAAAAGAAACAGGACUGCACAUUAUUCUUACAGAUUGAGCAAAGCACUGUGAAUUCUUAUUCAGGCCAUUUCUCUUUGAGGAAGAGGCCAAGGGAAGAGAAAGCUAGGUUUGAUAUAAAGGUAUCAAUGUGAUUUGAAUCUGAUUUAUCUAAUGCUUUCAAAGCAAGAUCCUUCUUGACACAGUCCCCUGUCAUGCUUCAACUGGACACUUUCAAGAAGAUAGGAGAUCCAGUUUUGACAACUAACAGCAGAGUAAUGUCUCACAAACUCUUGUCACAGGGGAUAUCCCAGGAAAGAUCAAAGAGCUGCAUCUACUCAGAAAUAUUGUUCUUGUCUACACUGAGUAUUCCUUAAAGUUUGGUCUAAAGGAUUUUGGAAAGGCUCUCUCCAUCUGACAUCUCUUCUUGACCUCUUCCUUCUCUUAAACUGACCAAAUGAGGAGUUUGCUUGGGAUUUCUUCAGCACCAAAAAAUAUUAAAAGAAAUUACUUUGAGAGAGAAGAUAUAAUUUCUGGUUUUGUUUAUAUAUCUUUCGCCUAGAGCUUAGUUCUUACAUAAACCAUAAGGAAGACAAAACAAAACCCCACAAAAACCCAAAGCCCCUAGACAAAUAAGAGGAACACAGAGCACAGUGAUGAACUCUACAGCAGUCCAUAGAAAAGACACCUAGGAAGAAUGCUACUACUAGAAAAGCAAUCAUCUUCACUACUGGUGCAGAGUGAGAGAAAAGAAAGCCUGAGGCUGAAAUUGGUAUCAAGCCUAUUUUAUUCUUUUAUUUUAUUAAAUCAUAAAAUAUUUUAAAUCAUUAAGAGGCCAAACUGGACAGCUGAGACCAAUUAUUCCAGAAAAUAGGACUCUUGGAGAGGAAACCUCUCCUGAAUAUUAGCAAGAAACAUGGGGAGCUGCCCAGUUUCAGUCUCACUGGGAAUAUGGAAGCAUUCUUGGUAUUUUCAUCAUUUUCAGCAGUAAUGGCUAAUGGACGUCUGUUAACAGAAAGCAAUUAAGUGAUGCCUAAAGAGUCUAUCUGGAACAGAGGUUAGACAGAGUUAAAGGAAUAAAGUAGGUAUUUAUUAAAAGGCCUUUAAAGGAUACACCUUGGGCAGAACAAGAGCCUGGCUGUGGCUACACCCAAGAUGGACCCAAGACAGACACCAGGUCAUGAGUUUUCAGACUUUUAUAAGUAUUGAUCUAUUUACAUAUUGAGGUUAAUUGUCCAAUUACAUAUUCAGGUUACAAAGUCCCAUCCUCCCAGAUUGCUCUCCUCAAUUCCCUGUUGUUUAUACUUUUUGGUCCUGAAGCCGUAACGGUGUCCUUGGUUCUUGGGCUGGAAAAGGAUCGUUUUGUCUAACAAAACUGUGAAGAGAACUUGCUAACACUUUAUAUGAAGUUUAGAGUUGUAUACUAAUGCAGUACAAAAUGGAAAAUAUGAAAUCUAAAAUUUAAUGCACCAAAGGAUUUCAUGCCCCACCAAAAUGUUUUGUUAUCUUCUAUAAUAAACAUCAAAGUAUACCUGUACCUUAGACCCAAGAGCCAAAUAAAUAUAUAAUGAUUUUAUUAUUGCUAUGAAAGGAUAAAUUAUAUCUGCUAAUACAGCAUUAAGAGCAAUAAAGCAUGAAGUGCAUCACCACGUCAGGCACAGAACAAGCUAAUGUCAUAUUUUAACAUCAAGUGUCCUUACAAAAAGUUAACGAAGUCAGGUUGUGCAUUUCAAAAUGAUUGGCAAGUUAAUGUUUCACAGUGUGACGCUGGUGACAUUGGAAUGCAAGAGCAAAGGGUCACAUAACAUUAAAUAGCUGACUAAGACCUGUUAGUUCUAGCAUAAGAUGUGUGAGCAAUGCAUAAAAUCUACAAGCACAUAUUCAUAUUUUAUGUUUUUAAGGUGAUAUUGGCAUGCCCCACGGUUUACAGGGAAGAAGAACUGUUAGAAAAAUAGAUCUCUGCAACCAAUUUAGCCUUCUUGCUUCCAUCAAGCACAGGAGAUUUUCAUGAUAAGACAGUGAAAAGUAUUAUCCUUGAGAAGAAAAUACAGAAUACUUGCAUGAUUUUAGUGUAAACUUAAACCCUGUGGUUUUACUUGUGCAAACUGCAAGAAU